UACGAAGGGGGCUAGCGUUGCUCGGAAUUACUGGGCGUAAAGCGCACGUAGGCGGCUUCUUAAGUCGGAGGUGAAAUCCUGGAGCUCAACUCCAGAACUGCCUUUGAUACUGAAGAUCUUGAGUUCGGGAGAGGUGAGUGGAACUGCGAGUGUAGAGGUGAAAUUCGUAGAUAUUCGCAAGAACACCAGUGGCGAAGGCGGCUCACUGGCCCGAUACUGACGCUGAGGCACGAAAGCGUGGGGAGCAAACAGG
rnacentral:rRNA from 1 species